rnacentral:rRNA from 1 species
GACGAACGCUGGCGGUGUGCUUAACACAUGCAAGUCGAACGGUAAGGCCCUUUCGGGGGUACACGAGUGGCGAACGGGUGAGUAACACGUGAGUAACCUGCCCUCAUCUCUGGGAUAACAGUCGGAAACGGUUGCUAAUACUGGAUAUGAGCCUGCAAGGCAUCUUGUGGGUUGGAAAGAUUUUUUGGUUGGGGAUGGACUCGCGGCCUAUCAGCUUGUUGGUGAGGUAGUGGCUCACCAAGGCUUCGACGGGUAGCCAGCCUGAGAGGGCGACCGGCCACAUUGGGACUGAGAUACGGCCCAAACUCCUACGGGAGGCAGCAGUGGGGAAUAUUGCACAAUGGACGGAAGUCUGAUGCAGCAACGCCGCGUGCGGGAUGACGGCCUUCGGGUUGUAAACCGCUUUCAAUUGUGACGAAGCUUUUUGUGACGGUAGCAGUAGAAGAAGCACCGGCUAACUACGUG